rnacentral:rRNA from 1 species
AGUGAACGUUGGCGGCGUGGAUUAGGCAUGCAAGUCGAGCGAGAACCGUAGCAAUACGGGGACAGCGGCGAAAGGGACAGUAAUAUGUAGGUACCUACCCCGAGGUCUGGGAUAGCUGCGGGAAACUGCAGGUAAUACCGGAUAAUGUCCUCGGACCAAAGGUGUGAUUCCACCUCGGGAGGGGCCUGCAUCCUAUUAGCUAGUUGGAGAGGUGACGGCUCACCAAGGCGACGAUGGGUAGCGGGUGUGAGAGCACGACCCGCGUCAUUGGGACUGAGACACUGCCCAGACACCUACGGGUGGCUGCAGUCGAGGAUCUUCGGCAAUGGGCGAAAGCCUGACCGAGCGACGCCGCGUGCGGGAUGAAGGCCUUCGGGUUGUAAACCGCUGUCGUAGCGGAGCAAGUGCAGGAGGUCUCCCUCCUGUUGACCUAUCC